GGUCACUCAACCUCCAGCCCGGGACCCUGGUCUGAGCUGUGGGGCGGACACUUCCUCCUGACUGGAGUGCUGACUGAACCUCUGCCAGAUUGUGGGGUUUUGUUUACUGAAGAAACACGCAGCACAAGGAGAGACCCGGAACACAAGGUCACUGGUCAAUGAGAGCCGUUUCCAAUCACAGCAGAAGGUCCUUCCACCUCGAAGGUGACAGAGGAGGAGGUCACUGAAGAACUCGGGAACAUCACCGGUGUCUUGGGAGUGUGCAGCAUUGUCAUGGCAACCAGUGGUGGGAAGACAAGAUGGAGGAGUCGUGUGGUGCUCCGACCUCGUUGUGAAAAGAAGGGAGGACCAGAGAUGACACCAACCACGGGCAGUGUCAAGGAAGUAGAUGGUGCUGAGAUGAAGCGAUAACUGGGGAGCUGAGUGAUGUCAUCGGAGCUGCAGCCACUUCUGUCAACAUCUCUCAUCUGAUCUCCAUCAUGGAGGAUCAAGGUAAGACUGUUCCCAGUGUUUCUUCAUCACAUGGCAGCUUCAUAACAAGAGCGUUGAUAAAUGAGCCGUUUCCUAAACAUGUCAUUUGGCUGCUCUCCUCCGUUGCCAUGUCGACAAAGCAAUCCCCUAAUAUAUUCUCCUUUUUGAACUUUCUGAGCCGUUCAGCAAAUCUCCGGGCCUCACUCCUAAUCCGUCACCUUCACUUUCUCAGAACAUGAUCCGGGCUCUGCUCCCGCUCACUUCCUCCUCUCCUCUCCUCUCUGUGCUCCACUCCAGUAAUUGGUGUUUGCUGCAUUUUAUUAGAAAGCUCAGCACAAACAUCAGCUCCAACGCUCCGUCUCACAUUAGAGUUCUGCAUCUCAUCUCUUCUACUUCAGCACCUCGUAGCUCUGAUAUCCUACGUCCUCAUCAUCUCAGCAACACAGUCUUGACUCCAGCAUGGAUAACUAGCACCUUAACUGUCAGAAUCCUCUCAUCCGAUACUUCCUCCAUGUUUGUAUUGAAAUGAGCAGA